GCCGCUGGCAGGGGCAGCAAAUGGCAGCCCCUUCCCGCAGCAUCCAUCCGCGGCUGCACGGCACCGAGGCAUUGUGGGAAACUCCGUGCCUCCACUCCCCCUCCCCGACCAAUCAGAGGCUACCUCUCUCCUUCUCCCUCUCCCUCCCCCGGCCAGCCCGCGCCCUCCGGCCGCCCCCCACCCCCAAGCCUUUCCCUAAAUCCUGAGCAAAGCCAAGGGCUGAACCCGAACUCUGCCCGGAGGCGACUGGCUGCCAGAGAGGAGGAGGAGAGGGAACGAGGAGCCCCCGGGCGAGGGGCGCUGGGGCACCAGCACUGGCCUCCGGGAAGAAGAGCGCCCGGGGAAACUCGGCGGAGAGCGUGCCGCGCCCUGGUUAAAGCCGGAGGGAACGGGGACCAGGACCAGAGAAUCGCUCUGCGCUGGCAGUUGCCGAUCACCGGCUGAUAGCAUUCGGGAAGUAGAAGUGAGGACCCGAAGGAGAGCAGGGGCUCGCCCAAGGACGUUUCAAACUACCAGGACCCCAAGGCUGAAACCCUAUCUUGCAGGCUCUGCGGAAGCUAACUGUACGCCUCGUGCCCAGUUUCUUUCUAUGAUUAUAGAAAAUUCUGUGCGGUUUGAACGGUGCGCUACAAAGUGUUUUAAAAUAGACCACUUUCUAAAUUAGGGGUUUCCUCCCAAGAAAUAACCGCUGUCAGCAAACAUGAGAAACACCUCAAAGUAGAUGUUUGUAACCAAACUAUAUACGUCCAUGUAGGCUGCUGUAAGAAACCCGACCAUGAGGAGUUUCAGGGUGGCACUGCGUGACUAGGAACACGUUGUUUGUUUGUUCCUCUAAAUUAGGAGACUGAGCAAGCUACCUUAAACGUCUUCCAUCUCCAACAUUCUGUAAUUCUCCUCACACUGGUAUAUUACAAUAAGACAAAAGCAAAGGCAUUUCCAGAGGAGUGAGGAAAGGUUAUAAAAAUAAAAACAGCUAGCAAUUGUUAAGCCCUUGCUUUUACAUGACCAGUGUUGUGCUGAGCACUUCACACAUCCACCGCCAUACGUUUUCGUAACACCCCUCAAGUGUGAGUAGCUUUUCUCAUUGCUCAAGCAUGUGCAAGUAGAAAUUGGCAAAGCUGGGAAUCAUGUCCAGGCUGCGAGAUGGCAGGUCUUUACACUUCACCCAGAGGCAAUCACUCUUUCUACAGAGGGGACCCUCAGGCAUUUCAACAGCAAGAUCCAAACAUUGAGGGGAUCCCUAAGACCAAGCAAAUGUUGUCAUAAUUGAAUUACUGGACUCACUUUCUCAUGACUCUUGCUCCCAGUCAUACCUUCUGUAUCCAUUCCCCACAUGACUUCAAGACAUUUCUGCUAUGCUACCCCUUUACUUUAAAAUGUUCUGGUUUUAUCAUAUGGUCAUUAGUGUAAAGUCUAACAUGUUAUCUCCUCUUCCUUCUUGUGUCAUCCCUAAUAUUAUUGUUUACUCCCACACCUCCAUCAGAUCUUUAGAAACCUCCAUUCUAGACCAUGAUGGACCCCCAUCCAGUAGGCUCCUACUCUACUAUUCUAGUAAGCUUGGACCACUAUAACUGUUUGUCACUUGUCUAUCUCUCCCUGUGUAUGUAGAGGCUGUACGCUGUCAUAUCCCCAUCAUCACAAAUAAGCAUACAAUGUAAUAACAUACCAAGUUGUGUAUAUUGUAAGCCACAAUUAAGUGUCAACAAAAAAGGAAAUGUACAUCAUUUUGAACAUAUAAACAUAUGCUUCAACUACUCAUUAUAAAAGAAAUCAAUUUUAAACUAUAAUAUCAUUUGCAGAAUAAAUAGUUUGAUAGUGUGGGGGUAGGAAAACCAACCCCUUUUCAAAUUGUUGGUAUAGCUUAAUUGGUACAGUCUCUCUGAUGGGAAAUUUGGCAAUAUGCAUCAACAUUUGAAAUGCACAUUCUAAUUAAUAUACCAAUUCCACUUGCAGAAAUUUGUCCUCUGCCAUUCUUGUAAGUGUACUCAAAACUUCGACUGGAAUCAACCUAAAUCAUUAAUUUAUUGUUAUAAUACUAAUGCAUUAUUAGUAGUAUAUAUAUACUAGCUAGUAUAUUAGUAAUAGUAUAAGUUAUAAUUACAU
rnacentral:lncRNA from 1 species